rnacentral:pre_miRNA from 1 species
CUACUCCAAAGAGUGUCAGUCAUAUGUAAUUCAAUUUGAUUGACACUUUUGUGAGUAG